rnacentral:lncRNA from 1 species
GGUAUAAUGUAGUUGUACAUAUAUGUGUGGAGUUUGUCAAAAACAAACUGAAUGGUCAAGCUCAUAUAAGGUGGAAAAAUUUACAAGGCCACACCAACACUUAACAUAAAACCUAUUACCACCGGGGAAAUAAUGAGUGAAAUUGAAAGAGAAAUAUUUGUCACAUACUGAUCAAAAUCAAGUUUAUAAGAAACUCCUUCAACUAAGACACUAUGGCUCACCACC